UACGAAGGGGGCGAGCGUUGUUCGGAUUUACUGGGCGUAAAGGGCGCGCAGGCGGCUCAUUUUGUCAGGCGUGAAAGCCCCGGGCUUAACCUGAGGUGCGUUUGAUACGGAUGGGCUAGAGUUCGGGAGAGGAGAGUGGAAUUCCCAGUGUAGAGGUGAGAUUCGUAGAUAUUGGGAAGAACACCGGUGGCGAAGGCGGCUCUCUGGACCGAGACUGACGCUGAGGCGCGAAAGCGUGGGGAGCAAACAGG
rnacentral:rRNA from 1 species